rnacentral:rRNA from 1 species
UACAGAGGGGGCAAGCGUUAUUCGGAAUUAUUGGGCGUAAAGGGCGCGUAGGCGGCUCUGCACGUCCGUUGUGAAAUCGCCCGGCUCAACUGGGCGGGGUCAGCGGAUACGGCAGAGCUUGAGCAAGCUAGGGGGCAAUGGAAUUCCCGGUGUAGUGGUGGAAUGCGUAGAUAUCGGGAGGAACACCAGUGGCGAAAGCGGCGCACUGGACCACAACUGACGCUGAGGCGCGAAAGCUAGGGGAGCAAACAGG